UUUCUUCUACAUUUGUCUGAAUUUGUUUCUACUUGGGACUUCUCAUGCAUAUAUUACUGUUAUAUUUUCAACAGUGCCAUGGACUGAUUUUUUAUUUUUUUAGGAGUGUAAUUUCAAUUCAUCCUUUCACAAUCUGUGUUAUGAAAAACUAAAUAUGUUCUUCACCCUCUCCUUUUAUAUGUAUGCAAUGAAGAAACAAUUCUUUAAUUGUUAAGUCUGUGUUGUGUUAUAAUAAUUGACAGAGAUUCCUGAGGAAACUAUACUCCUGGUUGAAAGAAAAGAAAAGGAGAAAUGGAGACAUAAGGGGCAUAAGGAGUGUGAGAGAAGAAUAAAAGAGCUUGAACAACAGAAUAAAGAGCUGUGUGAUGAGAACAUGAGGAGAAUAGCAGAGCUUGAACAACAGAAUAAAGAGCUGCAUGAUGAGAACAAGAUUCCUGAAGAAAGUAUAAACGCGGAUAAAAGAAAAAAAAAGAAGAAAUGGAGACACAAGUGGCAUAAGGAGUGUGGUAAGUAGUGAAAUAUUUUAUAGUAGGAUUUCCCAGAGAGUAUUUUCCAGUCAUUAUAUUUUAAAAGAAGAAUGUACUGUUUGACUUCUGACAUGAUCCUCACCUUAGUUAGUUACUCUACCCAGAAUAUUUUACUGUUGAGUCUCAAUUACUCAUUUGGAUUGAUUGUUUCAAAAUCUUUAAAGGAAUCUGAAUAUCUGGGCUGAACUCCUGCACAAUCUCUUUUGUGAAACACUAAAGGGAUUUAGUUCCUUUCACUUGUGUAAAUAUUAACACCCUUCCCUUACAUCAGAGGUUAUUACUGUGUGAAAAUUUAUAUGUAUUUGUAGAGAACAGAUCUAGAACAACAGAUUGAAGAGGUGUGUGAUGAGUAACAUUAGUACUGUUCUGUGUGUAGUAUCAUCAAGUGUGGUUUUAAAGUCA
rnacentral:lncRNA from 1 species